rnacentral:lncRNA from 1 species
AUGUAAUAGUGGUUGUGAAAGUGUUUUAGGUUGUGUUUGGAUAUCUGAAUAAGUUAUACAAUGACAACUUAUUCUGUUUAAUAAUUUUCUAGUAUGCUUGUAAGUAAAUAGUUUAGUUUUUGCUUCUUCAAAAUUUUGCUAUCAAUUAUUUCAUAAGAUAAUUAACAUAGAGCAAGUGGCAAAGAACUUGGUGAUUUGUACCCGGGACCCAAGUUCGAAUACUAGUUGAUUCACAUUUUCAGUUAAGUUUAUUUUAUUUAAGUUUAUUUUUAAAUGAAAUAAACGAAGCAGGUAGCAUACUACCUUUCUCUCAAAAAAAAAAAUUUUUUUUUUCUUAUUCCGAAAAAAAUGACUUGAAGUCCAAAUAUAAUAUUUCAUAUUAGGGGCAAUUGUUUAUAUAUCCUGAAAAGUUUUCGACUUCCCAAUUUACCCUUGUUAGAAGGCUUAUAUUAAAAAUACCCUUUCUACAUUCCAACCUAUUUCUAAUAUACUUCUAGGCCAUGUUUGAUUGGGGAACAAGGGUGGGGAUAUGGGGUUAUCCCCCCAUUGUUCCCCAAACACUAU